rnacentral:rRNA from 1 species
ACGGGAGGCAGCAGUGAGGAAUAUUGGUCAAUGGUCGGAAGACUGAACCAGCCAUGCCGCGUGAAGGCAGACGGUCCUAUGGAUUGUAAACUUCUUUUGUACGGGAGCAAUAAGGUCUACGAGUAGGCCGAUGAGAGUACCGUACGAAUAAGCAUCGGCUAACUCCGUGCCAGCAGCCGCGGUAAUACGGAGGAUGCAAGCGUUAUCCGGAUUUAUUGGGUUUAAAGGGUGCGUAGGCGGUAUGGUAAGUCAGCGGUGAAAUGUCCACGCUCAACGUGGAACGUGCCGUUGAUACUGUCGUACUGGAAUUCGGAUGCCGUGGGAGGAAUGUGUAGUGUAGCGGUGAAAUGCUUAGAUAUUACACAGAACACCGAUUGCGAAGGCAUCUCACGAAUCCGACAUUGACGCUGAGGCACGAAAGUGUGGGGAUCAAACAGGAUUAGAUACCCUGGUA